rnacentral:lncRNA from 1 species
GAACAUCUUACGGAUGGCCCAGGGCUCCAAAGGCUCGUUUCCUAAGUGAGAGAGAGCCUGGCUGAAGCUGUAUUACCAUUCAUUCUCCAGCCUCCGAAGUCUCAAAGCAUCACUUCCACCAUACUCUAACUGUCAAGACAAACACAAAGGCCCAGAAAGAAGAAUACACUAUCGAUGUUCCUUUUAAACAAGUAUUUGAGUAAAAGCGAUGUUUCCAAUGUGUGUCAGAAAGUGAAUACUUGUAUAUUUCCGCACGGUUAGAGCUGAGCUUUCCGAGCAAAUUUUACUGGGACCCGGUUGAAAGACAGGUCUUGGAAGUGAAAUGAUGACUGACUAGAUGAAACUGCCAGACUGUCUUCUGAAGUGGCUAUAAUAUUUACACUCCCAUCAGCAGUGUAGAAGGGGUCUCACUAUGUUGUCUGGAGUGCUGUGGUGGAGUGGAGUGGCUAUUCACAGAGCCUGUUCUGCUGGGACACAGAAUCACUUGCUCCAUCUCAUACAUUGAUGAUGAUUAAUUUGUAUGUGUACCUUCCAAAAAAGAUGGUUGUGUUUGAAUGGAGGCCUUCUGGACAGGAAAAUAUGGAGAGUGCGUGCUUUGGAUUCAAGACUGGGAAUGAGGGGACCAGAAACCUAUUCUGUGGCUGUUUCUUGUUAGGACUUUCCUAAGCCUCUGGAAAAGUGCAAAGUACAAUUAACAUUUGAGUCUGUCUGAGUCAUGAAGAAAUGGAGAUUACUGAAAAUAAUUCAUUUUGGUAUCUUCUUACAUCCUGAGAGACUAAUCUUUCCAAGUUCAUCUGAGGCUCCUCUUCUCCAUGACAACCUCAUCCAGGGAUUUCUUCCUGUCCUGGUGUUUUAUGACAUAAUCACAUCCUUCCUGAGAUAAUGAGCACACAAUUGCCUGGAUACCUGAAGGAAUGGAGACAGCGGCAGAAAACACUGCAGAGAGGUGGAAACAUCCGUUAAUAUUUUAAAAUCCCAUUACUGCUACCAACAAUAAUAAUGGAUGCAUAGAAAUAGAUCUGGAUUAGCUGAGCUUGAAACAGUCCAUCUCACACACACACAAAAGAAUUUCAGAUACAGUGAACCCACAUGUUGAAGCUUUCUAGUAUAAUAAAAAUUUCAACUGUUCUGUUGAAUCAUCUGCCUGAUUGGAGGCUACAGAAAAGAUGUCAUCUUAGGAGUGCUUGCUCUGAGUGAGGCUCAUCUUCAAAUCUGAAUGACCACAAGGAGAUUUGAUUAUACAUGUGAACACCUCAGAAGGCACAGCCCACCCAGAAGGCAGACAGAAGAAGCUGCCAGGAAGACUGUGAAAUCUUCAUGCCCAAGGAUCCCUAAAAUUAGGAGCAACAACCACUUGGCUCAGACGGUUUAUGGAGGCAAAGGUUUGGAUGGGAUUAGAGAUUUCUAAAUGUGAGUUCGUGUCCUCUGCCAGACCACCUUACUUCCACCAUUCCUCAGCAAAUCAAGAAAAACAGGAGAAAAGACAUGCCUUUCCAUAAGUUAAAUCUAUUCUGUUUUAAUUCUAUAUUAUAUCUGCUGUACAACUUCUUUUGUUUGUAACACCAUAUUGUUGCUAGUAACUGGAAAUUAAUUUUCACAUGCCUCAGCUUAGAAAAAUAAAAAGCAGCCCUGCAUCAA